UACGAAGGGGGCAAGCGUUGUUCGGAAUUACUGGGCGUAAAGGGCGCGCAGGCGGCCUUAGAAGUCAGGCGUGAAAGCCCCGGGCUCAACCUGGGAAUUGCGCUUGAGACUCUAAGGCUUGAGUUCGGGAGAGGUGAGUGGAAUUCCCAGUGUAGAGGUGAAAUUCGUAGAUAUUGGGAAGAACACCGGUGGCGAAGGCGGCUCACUGGACCGAUACUGACGCUGAGGCGCGAAAGCGUGGGGAGCGAACAGG
rnacentral:rRNA from 1 species